rnacentral:rRNA from 1 species
GACGAACGCUGGCGGCGUGCCUAAUACAUGCAAGUCGAGCGGACGAAUCGAAAGCUUGCUUUUGAUUCGUUAGCGGCGGACGGGUGAGCAACACGUGGGCAACCUGCCCUGUAGACGGGGAUAACACCGAGAAAUCGGUGCUAAUACCGGAUAACACGAAAUGUCGCAUGACGUUUCGUUGAAAGACGGCGCAAGCUGUCGCUACAGGAUGGGCCCGCGGCGCAUUAGCUAGUUGGUGAGGUAACGGCUCACCAAGGCGACGAUGCGUAGCCGACCUGAGAGGGUGGUCGGACACACUGGGAGUGAGACACGGCCCAGACUCCUACGGGAGGCAGCAGUAGGGAAGCUUCCGCAAUGGACGAAAGUCUGACGGGGCAACGCAGCGUGAGCGAAGAAGGCCUUCGGGUCGUAAAGCUCUGUUGUUAGGGAAGAACAAGUAACGCAGUAACUGGCGUUACCGUGACGGUACCUAACGAGAAAGCCACGGCUAACUACGUGCCAGCCGCCGCGGUAA